CUUAACACAUGCAAGUCGAGCGGAGAAAGUUCCUUCGGGAACGAGUAACAGCGGCGGACGGGUGUGUAAUACGCGAGAACCUACCCUUCAGUGGAGAAUACCCUCGAGAAAUUGAGGUUAAUACUGCAUACGUCCCUACGGGGAGAAAGGUGACUUUAUGUUGCCGCUUAAGGAUGGGCUUGCGUGCUAUCAGCUAGUUGGUGGGGUAAAGGCCUACCAAGGCUAUGACGGCUAUCCGGCCUGAGAGGGUGUACGGACACAUUGGGACUGAGAUACGGCCCAGACUCCUACGGGAGGCAGCAGUGAGGAAUAUUGCGCAAUGGGCGAAAGCCUGACGCAGCGACGCCGCGUGAAGGAUGAAGGUCUUCGGAUUGUAAACUUCUGUUAAAUAGGAAGAAAGUCCCAUCUAUAAUAUGGAUGGGCGAUGACGGUACCAUUAGAGAAAGCACCGGCUAACUUCGUGCCAGCAGCCGCGGUAAUACGAGGGGUGCAAGCGUUAU
rnacentral:rRNA from 1 species